rnacentral:misc_RNA from 1 species
CUACACAUAUAAAAUUCAUAAAAUUCCUAAUGCAACUUAAAAUCAUUAUUCCCCUUAUUGCGGCAUUCAAAGGCUUCCACUUGCAAACCCUCAGAAGUAUACAGUGUUGUAAAUUGUAAGAAUCAAUUAUGACGGAUACAAAUACUUUGAAUCAUACAGAACGACUUAGACAAUAUGGAACAGAAGAAGAUUAUGUUGGCAGUAACAUAUAAAAGGACGGGUUACGUAAGACUAGAAAAAUGUAAACAUACCUAAGAUGAGCGGCAAACUUAUAUUUGCAUCUCAAGACGUCACCAUUCAGCAUGCUCGUUUUCCAAGCCAAUUAGCCAAGGCAUCAGGUCAGUCAGAGAAAUUAUGGUGCACACUCAUUGAGAACAUUUUCAUCCAUGGCAUGCAGUUCAUCCCUAAUUAGCCCAAGCAAUAUUCCUAAAAAGCAAUACACCUCUGAAGCUUGAGGGUGGCACUUAUCACUUGAAACAAACGUGUGAAUAGCACCACCAAGUUCUAUCCAGCUACAACCUGGAACUUUGUGAUCACACCUAUCUCUCAUCAGCUUGCGAACUCUUGCCACAUCAUGCCACUGCUCCUCAGAGGCAUACAUGUUAGAUAUAAGAGCAUAAUAUACAGGAAUGUUUGGCUCCAAUUCCAAAAGCUUUUCUGCAGCCCACUUAGCUAAUUUUAAAUAUCCAUGGAUUUUGCACGCCCCAAUGAAGGCUGCCAAGAUGUCUGAUCUCUGUCCAAUUGGCAUUGAGGUCAAUACACUAAAAGCCUCAUCCAAAAAACCAGCUCGACCAAGAAGGUCAAUGAGACAACCAUAGUGCUCUAGAUGCGGUAUAAUUUGAUAAUGUUUUAUCAUUAAGCUAAAGUAACGAAACCCCUCCUUUAUUAAUCCUGCAUGGCUGCGGGCAGAAAGAACCCCAAGAAAAGCAAUUUUAUCUGGCAUUACACCUGUAGAUAACAUCUUUUCAAACAUCUCGAUGCUAUCUUUUGGAAGACUGUUGAAUGCAUAAGCGCCAACAAGUGAAGUCCGUGUAACAUGAUUGGGCUCCGGAACUGAGUUAAAGCAUUCCAGUGCACUAGCAGUUCUGCCACACUUGGCGUAUGCGUUUAUUAUGGCAUUUCCAAUUGAUAGAAAGGAAUGAAAUCCCAUUUUUACUACAUAAGCAUGAACUUGCAUAAUUUCAUAACUUGCUGAUGCAUUGCUACAUGAACCAAGGAUACUAGCUACAGUUAGUUCAUCUGGAGUGAAAACCUCUCGCAACAUUUCCUUUAGAAGUUUCAUAGCCUCCUUCCCAUCUCCAAGCUGCCCGUAAGCCACAACCAUAGUAUUCCAAGACACUACAUUAUUAGCAGCCAUAUCAUCAAAAGCCUUCCGAGCAUCUUCUAUAUUUUCACUCUUUGCAUACAUAUCAACAAGUCCACUAGAUACUAUAAUAUCUAAAUCAAAAGACAGCUUGAUGAUAAGACCAUGAAUUUGCCUUCCUAAUUCACAAGAACCCAAAGUCGCACAUGAAUUGAGCAUACUAGAAAAUGUAAAACCAUCCCCUAUCAAAUUUUCCAGUCGCAUCAAGUUAAAUACUCUGAAAGCCUCUUCUUCCAAGGAAUUCAAUGCAUUGCAAGACAACAUCACAUUCCACAACACCAAGUCUGGGCACAAUACUUUAUCAAAAAUUCUCCUUGCAUCCUCGACCAAUCCACAUUUCCCGUACAAAUCAACGAGCGCACUACUGACAAAACAGCUCAACUCGAAACCUAAUUUCAAUAUGAAACAGUGCAAUUGUCCACCAAUCUCAACGUUAUUUAACUCAAGACAGGCACGAAGCAAACCAUUCAACGUUAUGGGAUCCAAACUUACCUGAUUCAGUAGCAUUCUCUUCAAAUAAGAAAAACAUACGUAGAGACUUGAACCGUAAUUAUUACGA